AUAUAUAUAAUUAGGCCUGGGUACUAUUAAUAGGAAAACGCUCUUUUUGCUAUCAAGUUUUUAACCCUUGGAUGAAAAAUUGUAGGGUCAGGAUGAUAUUAGUCGGUUAGAGUUGAGUGGUCCCCCUAGGGUUGAGUGAUCCCCACUGGGUUAUAGUAUUUAAUCCAAUGGUAAGAAAUAAUGAAAAGAGUUGAUCCAAAGGCUAAAAAACUGAUAGCAACAAUGAGAUUUUGCUACUAGUAGUAGCCCAGUCCAACUCUAUAUAUAUAUAUAUAUAUAUUACUAUACUAACAAUAAUACUAAACGCUUAAUACUAUCGAAUUUUCAAAAAUAAUUAAGAAAUAAAUCUAACAGUAAAAAAUUUGAUAGUAUAAAAAAUUUUAUUGAUAACAAUCCGACUCUUUCUAUAUAUAUAUAUAUAUAUGUGUUUUCUUGUUUAAUGGUGUAAAGAUAUCCAAAUCAAUUAAAUUUUUGUUAAAAAGUUCUUUAAACUAUUUAAAACAAGAUCUAUACUCUUGAUCUUGAUUACAAGACUCAUAUCAUCAUUUUUUUAGGAAUAUUCAUUUUCAGCCGUUUAUUUUUAUGUCCACCCGAUGGAUAAAAGAACAAUAUCGAAAAUAUAUGAAAUUUGAUUUCUAAACACUUCAAGUAGUAUAGAUCAUAUUCAACGGUGCUGAUCGUCGAUUGGAGGAUCCAUCAUCGAAAACAAAUGGGUGGCAACGAAGCCCGUUUGCUAUCGAUAAUAUUCUAGCUCAACUAUAUAUAUAUAUAUAUAUAAAAUUGAGCUAGAAUACUUUUAGAAAUAUCAUCCCUUUGGUACUUUUAGGUUUCAAGUCCUUAGAUCUACUCCUUGAGCUGGUAUGCUUCUGGAAGUACGGAGUCUUCCGUGCUUCCAAGUCGUUUUCGAUGUUGGGAUUUUCGAAUCUACGAUCGGCUCCGUUAGAGUUUGAUCUAGAGUAGGGAUGUCAAUGAGCCUGGAUAUUCGAAAUUUUAACUGAACUUGAACCCGAAUAAAACGGAUAUAUCCGAUGGAUAUGGAUAUGGAUUCGGAUAUGGAUAUCAAAAAUAGAAACUCGACGGAUAUAAAUUCGGAUAUGGAUUUUGAUUGUACCCGACCCGAACCCGAAUUUAUUUUGUAUUAUAUAUAACAUAUAUAUAAAAAUUUGAUGUUAUAUUUGAAUUUGUAUUUUAAAAAUUUAGAUUUAAUAUAAUAUAUUUUGAAAUAUUGAAAAAAGAAAUAAUUAUUUCGGGUACAAAUUUUCGUGUUCGGGUUCGGGUUCGGGUUUCGGAUUUUUUGUCGGGUUCGGAUUUGGAUAUGGAUUUUUAAAUUCCGUCGGGUUCGUGUUCGGGUUCGGGUCUCGGGUUUGGAGUCGGGUUCGGUUUCGGGUUUUUAAAAAUCCGCUCCAAAUCCGACCCGUUGACAUCUCUAAUCUAGAGUAUUUGAAGUACUCGAAAAAUAAAUUUUGUGAUUUUGCAAUAUCAUUUGCCUAGUGAUCGAAGGGGCUCAAAAUCAAUAAUUUUAAUGGCCGUGGUGAGCCGUUUGCAAGUUUAACGCUGUAAAAAUAUCCAAAUCAUGUGAAAUUUUGAUAGAAAAUUCUUUAUACUAUAUAAAACAAGAUCAAUAAUU
rnacentral:lncRNA from 1 species